UCGCUGUAAACUAUGCAUGCAAAUUGUUUACAAACAUUAAAAUACGUGUCGUGUAUGACGCCUACAUGCAGUGUAUAUGAUACAAACAACUGAACUUCUGAAGACAUGACAGUGCUGAUCAAGUGACAGAGGUGAAAAUUAUCCAAGGCCUAAUGAGAAGGGAGUAUCUCAGAUCAGAUGAGGGCAUUGUCAAACUUCUUGUUACGCAGCUAAGUCUCAAUACUUCAGAUUCAACUGUCUUUAAC